UACAGAGGGUGCGAGCGUUAAUCGGAAUUACUGGGCGUAAAGCGUGCGUAGACGGUUAUUCAUGACGGGUGUGAAAGCCCCGGGCUCAACCUGGGAAUUGCAUUCGAGACUGAAUAGCUAGGGUACGGUAGAGGGAAGUGGAAUUUCCGGUGUAGCGGUGAAAUGCGUAGAUAUCGGAAGGAACAUCAGUGGCGAAAGCGGCUUCCUGGACCAGUACCGACGUCAGGCACGAAAGCGUGGGGAGCAAACAGG
rnacentral:rRNA from 1 species